GAGGGGUGCUUGCACUCCGAUUCAGCGGCGGACGGGUGAGUAAUGCCUAGGAAUCUGCCCGAUAGUGGGGGACAACGUUUCGAAAGGAACGCUAAUACCGCAUACGUCCUACGGGAGAAAGUGGGGGAUCUUCGGACCUCACGCUAUCGGAUGAGCCUAGGUCGGAUUAGCUAGUUGGUGAGGUAAUGGCUCACCAAGGCGACGAUCCGUAACUGGUCUGAGAGGAUGAUCAGUCACACUGGAACUGAGACACGGUCCAGACUCCUACGGGAGGCAGCAGUGGGGAAUAUUGGACAAUGGGCGAAAGCCUGAUCCAGCCAUGCCGCGUGUGUGAAGAAGGUCUUCGGAUUGUAAAGCACUUUAAGUCGGGAGGAAGGGCUGUAGGCUAAUAUCCUGCAGUUUUGACGUUACCGACAGAAUAAGCACCGGCUAACUUCGUGCCAGCAGCCGCGGUAAUACGAAGGGUGCAAGCGUUAAUCGGAAUUACUGGGCGUAAAGCGCGCGUAGGUGGUUCAGCAAGUUGGAUGUGAAAGCCCCGGGCUCAACCUGGGAACUGCAUCCAAAACU
rnacentral:rRNA from 1 species